CAGCAGCCGCGGUAAUACAGAGGUCCCGAGCGUUGUUCGGAUUCACUGGGCGUAAAGGGUGUGUAGGAGGUUUGGUAAGCCAGGUGUGAAAUCCCACAGCUCAACUGUGGAACUGCAUUCGAUACUGCCGAACUAGAGGCUUGGAGGGGGAAGCGGAAUUCUUGGCGUAGCGGUGAAAUGCGUAGAUAUCAAGAGGAACACCGGUGGCGAAGGCGGCUUCCUGGACAAGUCCUGACUCUGAAACACGAAAGCCAGGGGAGCGAAUGGGAUUAGAUACCCGCGUAGUCCCUGUCUCUUAUAA
rnacentral:rRNA from 1 species